UAUAUUUGCAAUCGUUUAAAUCACAUAAAAAUCAUUUAAAUUAAUAUUGGCAUG
rnacentral:ncRNA from 1 species